GGCUUCAACAUCCCCGCCGGUUGGGCGUCGUAAGGUGCAGCGAACCGACUGGAGCC
rnacentral:sRNA from 1 species